GAAAGAAACACGCCUUCAGAGGUAGCUGCAGGUGCCCCUAGCUCCUCACCAGAACCCUGAGUGCCCACUGGAGAGGCCAGCUCCCGGGGCACGCGCUGAGUCAUUCCAGGCUCCAAGCUUUAACUUGGCCUUGGGUGCCUUGGCCCUGGACUUGCUCUGCAUGGUCCCAGCCAAGCGGUCCCCGGAGCCCCUGCCUCCUGGAUCCCCAGGCUAAGGAGCUGCUGGGCCCAGAGGCAGCCGCAGGAUCAAUGCAUUGCUCAGAGGAAAGCAGGAGGGACCUGGAACUUGGAAGUGGCCUGUGGAGCCAUAUGGGGAGGGGAAGCCAGCAGGGACGCACUUGGAUCGUGGUCCGGGACUGCGAGAAGAGCCCACUACCACUUGGCUGGCAGUAGAGUCUGGUUUGACCGUGAGCUCCAUGAGGGCUCCAAGGUGUGGAUUGGGGGAGGACUGGAAUCAGGCCCAGACAGCCCCAUGGCUUCUCUGUCUCUUGGCCUCACUGAAAGGCCCAUCCAACCGGGAUUCUGAGACCUGAUCCACCCUCAUCCUGCAAGGUCCGUCAAGAAUGAGGACCAGCUUUCCUGGGGUCCCCUCCAGGUGGGAAGAAGCCGUCUCCAAUAUGCUGUCUGCCUGGAAAGUGCCCCCGUGCUGAGCCCAGCAUCCUGAGGCCAAAGGCUGUUUUAUUCCUCUCUGUACCACGAGCUCCUGGCACAUAUCUGCUCUCCACAGAGGCUUGCCACACCGACCCAGGGAGGCUGAGCGGAGCCGUUCUCCAGCAGUGAGAGUGUGUGGCUGCGUCCCAUGUUAGAGUCGUCUGUGAGGAGCAGGCAUGGGAAUGGCCCACACCAUGAGGCCUCCCUCCGAAACGGUUGCCUUGACCCAAUUCACCAGGCCAGAGGUCACCCUGGGGUUUGGGCAGGAGGUGUAUCAGUCAGUCCUGUUAACUGCUGUGACAAGCAGUCCCCACCUCCUGCAACAUAGCACACCACAUGCACGCUUGCUCUCUUCUCACAGUGUCCUUCACAAGACAGGCUCAGCCGCUCCUCCUUCUGUGACAGUGUCCUCUCCAAGAUGGGGAUGUGGACCCUCAUCCUGGAAGAGACACCACACUUUUUCAAUUCCACUCCUUUGGCUAGAACCAGACACGUAGUUCCGUCCUCAUGCAGUGGGGGUGGAGUGUGAUAUGGUUUGGCUGUGUCCCCACCCAAAUCUCAUCUUGAAUUAUAGCUCCCAUAAUUCCCAUGUGUUGUGGGAGGAAACUGGUGGGAGAUAAUUGAAUCAUGGGGGUGGUUCCCCCAUACUGUUCUCAUGGUAGAGAGUAAGUCUGAUGAGAUGCGAUGGUUUUAUGAGGGGAAACCUCUUUUGCUUGGCUCUCAUUCUCUCUCUCUCUCUCUUUUUUUUUUUUUUUGAGAUGGAGUUUUGCUCUUGUUGCCCAGGCUGGAGUGCAAUGGCAUGAUCUCACUGCAACCUCUGCCUCCUGGUUUCAAGCGAUUCUCCCGCCUCAGCCUCCGGAGUAGCUGGGAUUAUAGGUGUCUGCCACCACACCGGCUAAUUUUUUGUAUUUUUAGUAGAGACGGGCUUUCACCAUGUUGACCAGGCUGGUCUCGAACUCCCAACCUCAGGUGAUUUACCCAUCUCAGCCUCCCAAAGUGCUGGGAUUACAGGCAUGAGCCACCACACCCAGCCUCAUUCUCUCUUUUCUGCCACCAUGUAAAACGUGUUUGUGACCCUCCACCAUGAUUGUGAUGCCUCCCUAGCUACGUGGAACUUUGAGUCUAUUAAACUUAUUUUUCUUUAUAAAGUACCCAGCCUUGGCUAUGUCUUUAUCAGCAGCAUGAAAACGGACUAAUAUGGGUGGGGAGUGCAGUUCCCCCUGGUUACCCACCUUGGGGGCCAGGGAGCCCCAUGUCUGUUGGGGCCAGCUUGUUGUCCCUGUCACAGGGGUUUGGGACCAACUAUGUGGCUUUGUGCACAUGACCUGCUAGCUCUGUGCCCCGAAUUUCCUGGCCUUUAAAUGGACACGAUACACCUCCUGUGGAGAUUAACACGCUGUCAUCAGUAAAGAGCCUCUCGCGGCCAGGCACCUGUUACCUGUUCAGCCUUUGGUAGUUACUCUGAGUCUACAGUGAUGAGAGCUCCCGGGGAUGUAAUUUGGAUAAAGCAGCAGCAAUGGCCCCCUGCACUGCUGACCCUCCAGUCCCUUGUCCUGGAGAAAGCUUCCUUUUACUACCAUUCAUUUUUUCUUUUUCUUUUUUUUUUUGAGAUGGAGUCUUGCUCCGUCACCCAGGCUGGAGUGUAGUGGCACAAUCUCAGCUCACUGCAAC
rnacentral:lncRNA from 10 species